AGUGUUGUGGCUCAGUGGUAGAGUGCUUGCCUAGCAUGUAUGAGGCACUGGGUUUGAUCCUCAGCAUCACCU
rnacentral:tRNA from 1 species